CGGGAAAUGGAAUUAGUGUAAUGUAACCUUUAUCAACAACAAAAAGAAGCGAAAAACGAAAUCGCUAGUAAAUACCUUAUUGAUGAUGAAAACACAAUCGAUUUUUCGUUCCGAUCAUAUACCAAUCAUCAAUUGUGUGUCAAAUUAUAUGGUUAUUAGAAAUUUAUGGGAGUUGGUUUAAUCAAAAAAGGUAUUUAGCUUAGGACUAAUUACUCGUCGUCAUUUCGGACGACAAUAUUUCGGACAAAUGUUAUGACAAGGCCAUAUACACAGGGGCGAAGAAGAUGCAAAAAGCUUUUCCCAGGCAAACAAAAACAAACAAUGGUACCAGUACCUGUGAUAGCUUAGGAUAAAGACAAGGACAUUUAGUUGUGAUGUCAAACCUUCCUCAGAAACAGAUAGCCUAGACCGUUCGAAAGCACCUCAUGAAGAUAUACAGUCAAUUCAUAGG